CUGUUUGAGCGUCGGUGCUGACGCGUGUUCGAGCAACCGUUCAGCCCUCUAUUCAACCAUCUUCAUUGAGUUUUAAAGCUGAUAGGAAACGCCUUUUCAAUAUGAUUAAUGAAGUGCCCACAAUAUUUGAAGUUGUUACUGGUGCAGC